rnacentral:rRNA from 1 species
UACAGAGGGGGCAAGCGUUGUUCGGAAUUACUGGGCGUAAAGGGCGCGUAGGCGGCGGGGUAAGUCGGGUGUGAAAUCUCAGGGCUCAACCCUGAAACUGCACUUGAUACUGCUCUGCUUGAGGACUGGAGAGGAGACUGGAAUUCACGGUGUAGCAGUGAAAUGCGUAGAUAUCGUGAGGAAGACCAGUGGCGAAGGCGGGUCUCUGGACAGUUCCUGACGCUGAGGCGCGAAGGCCAGGGGAGCAAACGGG